GUUAACUGUGAUGAGCCUACAUACCUGUAAUGAUUUGCGGGUAUGAUCGCAAACAUUAAUUGAACAUCUAAGGGACUGAGUUAAA
rfam:Vigna angularis cultivar Jingnong 6 chromosome 9, whole genome shotgun sequence.